rnacentral:rRNA from 1 species
CCAAUAGCGUAUAUUAAAGUUGUUGCAGUUAAAAAGCUCGUAGUUGAAUUUUGGAUUCUGCCAGUUGGUCCAUCUUUUGAUGAGUACUGAUUGUGUGGGGUCUAUCCGCCUGGUGAUACGUAAUGUACUUUAUUGUAUGUUGCGGGUAGUCAGGACCUUUACCUUGAAAAAAUUAGAGUGUUUAAAGCAGGCAUUCGCUUGAAUACAUUAGCAUGGAAUAAUAGAAUAGGACUUUGGUUCUAUUUUGUUGGUUUCUAGGACCGAAGUAAUGAUUAAUAGGGAUAGUUUGGGGCAUUAGUAUUUAAUUGUCAGAGGUGAAAUUCUUGGAUUUAUUAAAGACUAACUUCUGCGAAAGCAUUUGCCAAGGAUGUUUUCAUUAAUCAAGAACGAAAGUUAGGGGAUCGAAGACGAUCAGAUACCGUCGUAGUCUUAACCAUAAACUAUGCCGACUAGGGAUCAGGCAAGGAUAUUUUGACUUGUUUGGCACCUUAUG